CCUACGGGAGGCAGCAGUGGGGAAUAUUGCACAAUGGGGGGAACCCUGAUGCAGCAACGCCGCGUGGGUGAAGAAGUCCUCCUGUAUGUAAAGCCCUGUCAGCAGGGAAGAAAAUGACGGUACCUGACCAAGACUCCACGGCUCACUCCGUUCCAGCAGCCGCGGUAAUACGUAGGGGGCAAGCGUUAUCCGGAUUUACUGGGUGUAAAGGGAGCGUAGACGGCAAGGCAAGUCCGGGGUGAAAGCCCGUGGCCCAACCACGGGACUGCUUUGGAAACUGUGUGGCUGGAGUGCAGGCGGGGUAGGCGGAAUGCCUGGUGUAGCGGUGAAAUGCGUAGAGAUUAGGAGGAACACCGAUGGCGAAGGCGGCUUACUGGACUGUAACUGACGUUGAGGCUCGAAGGCGUGGGGAGCAAACAGGAUUAGAUACCCCAGUAGUC
rnacentral:rRNA from 1 species